CAGAUUAGCAUGGCUCCUAUGCAACGAUGACACCCCAAUUUGGAAAGUGUUCCACAUUUUU
rnacentral:snRNA from 1 species